AUUUGUGUUGGAAUAUAUUACCCCAGUGAAGAAAGAGACGCGUCUAAAGACCUAUUCUCUUUCCUGAGGUUUUCUUUAACACAACUCAACACAACGCAUCUACUCAUGGCUUCCAUUUCCGCCCGGGUGGCACAUCUUAUGGAUGAAACCGAACUGUCCACACCAUCACCUACUGCUGACCUUCUCACUGAGGACAUUACUCAUUAUCUUCAGGAUAUGGAAAGUCGUGGUCGGCCCAGUGACACAUCUGCUGACAGGGGUGGUCGAUGUCUCAACUCAGACUGCCACAGCUGCCACUAAGUCCACCCAAACUCCAUCAGCCGCAUCCACUAGCACACAAGCUACUCAAGUUACAUGGCGUGUUAACAAAAAGACUCAAUAUUCUCCUCGUUAUGCUGUCAAACCAUUUUAUAUUAAGAAGUGACUUUUUCCUUUUGAUUUUGCAUCUUUUUGUUAAAACCAUUAUGCUCAGUUUUCGCGUCCUUUUCUGCCUUACUGUGUGUUUCUAGCAUAUAGGGGUGGUUGAUCAUUUACUACCAUUAAUGGUCUAUGCCUUGAAUCUGCUCGCUUCUAAUGGCCCUAAUGGCCUGUGCACCUGUUCGCUCCUAAUGCAUCUGAUAACAUUUGACCCUCGAUGUAUGCUUCUUCUCCCCCCUUUCACCUUUCUCCUAGUCGUGGUAUAAUUUGCAUUUAUUUCUUAAAAAUUUCUCAAAGUGUCUGAGAGGCUGAAUCAGGCAAAACACACACACACACACACACAGAUACAUACACACACAUACACACAAACAUUAUGUGAAGUUGAACUUGACAGACCAAAUGUUACAUUUCCUUUGAACUGCCCUGAACUACUUUAGAUGAAUUUUGUGAAUAAACACUACAGAAGGUUAUCAAAUACAAUCUUAAAUAUUAUAAUAACAAUAAUAUCUUAUUACUCUAACAAAAUGAUGUUGGUCUUGUGUUGGCUUCUGGCGUGCUUGUGUUCAAACCCAAGUGUCUUCACCGUUUUCAAAAGAAGGCUCAUUUUCUUAAUCUUCUCUAUUUGCUCUAUUCCUAACAGGCAUCAUUUAGCAACCGCUGAUCUGUUUUAAGCUAAGACUAUAAUAACUGUAAUGAUUGUUCAGAUGUUCAUAUGUACAUGCUGCUCAACCGCAAGAUGAUAGAAAGAACUAGAGGCCAGAAAAGAAUCAGAUGCUUUUACCAUGUGGUUUUACUAGUUAUUAGAGGUUGUGAUCUGUACACGCUGACCAUAUAACCCGUAGAUAUACAUAACGAGGUGUCACGUUUCCAGAAAGGUCUUUGCAGAACAAUUGACAAAAUGAUGCAGCUUUUAGGUGUAAAACAAACAGGAUUUUAUAGACCUGGAAACAUGGCAUCACUGUGGGUGCAGUUCACAUUCCAAAACAAUGUACCACGAAGCAGAAAUUUAGGCGUCAUUUAUCUCAGAAAUAUGUUGUUCACAUCGUGGGAAUCAGCUUUCUAUUAAUUAUACUUGUAAUGAAACACUGCUGUUUAAACACCAGAGAUCUGAAUCAGAGCAAACACACACACCACAUAAAGUUAAAAUAUAUAGACAGCCAGGCCUGAUCGCUCCAGAUCACAACGAUUGACAAGCUAUUUACAUUAUACGCUUCCACACCCACAGUAAUCACAGUAUAAAGAGGUUUUCAGUCGUUUACAGUCUAGUGCUGCUGUAGAGCCCAAUAACGAUUUCUGGCUAAAAUGGCAGCUCAGGCAAUGUUAGAGAGUCAUUGUAUUCUUAUUGCUCAUUUUCCAAAGUAAAAUUUAUGUUUGUUUGUUUGUUUUUCACCAUAUGAUUUGGUGAAUCAGUUUUGUUUACACUAUUAAAGGUGUUCUAGGAUUGAUUUAAUUUAAAUAAUUUUAUAUGUAAUUAAGCAUUCAAUAUAUAAUAUAAUAUAAACAUAAAGCAAUUUUAGUUAUUUUUAU